CUUUUCUGCAGAUGUAGCAACAAUGGAGUUGUGGAUCAAAUACCUCAUGACAAAUGGAACUUCUUCCUUUACUAGGAGAACUGUCCAUUGUCUCUGAGAUCUGUCCAAGUUUUCAUCUGAAAUGUGAUGAAGAGUAAAUCAGAUUAACGCCAAGUUUUCUUCCAAACAUCUUCUCAUUGUGUCCCAUGUCCCAUUGAUGAAGUUGUUUCAAAUCUCAGAGACAAUUCACUGAAUUGAACUGCCCAAGACGGCAAAUAUUUGGAGGGGUAUAAGGUGGAUUUUUAUCAUCCUUGUAUAUCUAGGUUCGAUACUUCAAAGAAGAGGCAUACCUUGAAGUGGAUGGUGUUUGAAUCGCCAGUGGAGUAUAUUUGAGUCAAGCUGUGUAUCAGAUUAUCACCACAGGUCGAUUACAUAUUUGGUUUAUUUGCUCUUCUUCUUACAUGCAAAUAACAGCGAAGUUUGGGGGACAGCUUGCUGACUAAGAAACGUGGCUGCAAGUGUAUGAAAGCUACUUGAAGUAUCUUCCCCUUUGCACUGCAAGGGAUUUUCUGAAAAGCAUCUGAUGAUGGGUGAACAAGAACACUGUUGACAAACAAUGCUAGCCGUCUUGAGCGAGCAACAAUCAACUUCAUCGUGGUCAGGCCCAGAUUAUGUAAAUUCCAUCGUCUUUUCCACUGCAUCAAUUGAAUUACUUUCCUGAUUGAUAGAGGUACAUUCCUUGCCAUUUUUGUCUGUCUUAAUUACUGACUCGGGAGCACAUUUUUCUGUUUGUUUUUAAGUGUCUCACUUACGACAGGAGGAUUUCCCUGGACAAUCUGCCUCUCGGCAUGCCCUCUACUCUUUGUUUGCUGACUCAAUCGUAGUAGCGUGCAAACGUUUUAGAGACAAGUCUUCGAGCUAAGUUCACGCAUGGAUACCAUGACAGACAUGAUCAAUUGAACUCAGAAAAAAUAACUCGUCAAGCAAAAGGUUCAAAUUGAAGUUGUGCAUAUAUCACAAGAGGAUCAACUCCUUGGCUCUCUUUUGCCUGUUUCCUGAUUUGACAACGCAGGUUCAUUGGCUUAUCAACUGAAGCAAGGCCACUUUUACGAUGAAAAGUAAAAUCUUCAGAGAAAAUUGCUUUCUUAAGUAUCCCCUCCUGCGUUAGUAGAUGCUGGUUUGGUUCAAUCUUAUGCUGAUAAGUCCAUUUUCUUGUUCAUGCAUUAGCUCAUCCUCUGUACUUAUUUUAGUUUAUGCUGAUGACACUUAUGUGGUAUGACCAGUAAUUGAUUUGACAUAGUUUCUGUUUUGCUGAUUUGGCUUCUUGGAAAUAUUCUCUUGGCAACGAAAAGACUGAAUCCUCACGUGGCA